UGUGAGCUCGAUGAGUAGGGCGGGACACGUGGUAUCCUGUCUGAAUAUGGGGGGACCAUCCUCCAAGGCUAAAUACUCCUGACUGACCGAUAGUGAACCAGUACCGUGAGGGAAAGGCGAAAAGAACCCCGGCGAGGGGAGUGAAAAAGAACCUGAAACCGUGUACGUACAAGCAGUGGGAGCACAGAGCAAUCUGUGUGACUGCGUACCUUUUGUAUAAUGGGUCAGCGACUUAUAUUCUGUAGCAAGGUUAACCGAAUAGGGGAGCCGAAGGGAAACCGAGUCUUAACUGGGCGUUAAGUUGCAGGGUAUAGACCCGAAACCCGGUGAUCUAGCCAUGGGCAGGUUGAAGGUUGGGUAACACUAACUGGAGGACCGAACCGACUAAUGUUGAAAAAUUAGCGGAUGACUUGUGGCUGGGGGUGAAAGGCCAAUCAAACCGGGAGAUAGCUGGUUCUCCCCGAAAGCUAUUUAGGUAGCGCCUCGUGAAUUCAUCUCCGGGGGUAGAGCACUGUUUCGGCAAGGGGGUCAUCCCGACUUACCAACCCGAUGCAAACUGCGAAUACCGGAGAAUGUUAUCACGGGAGACACACGGCGGGUGCUAACGUCCGUCGUGAAGAGGGAAACAACCCAGACCGCCAGCUAAGGUCCCAAAGUCAUGGUUAAGUGGGAAACGAUGUGGGAAGGCCCAGACAGCCAGGAUGUUGGCUUAGAAGCAGCCAUCAUUUAAAGAAAGCGUAAUAGCUCACUGGUCGAGUCGGCCUGCGCGGAAGAUGUAACGGGGCUAAACCAUGCACCGAAGCUGCGGCAGCGACGCUGAUGCGUUGUUGGGUAGGGGAGCGUUCUGUAAGCCUGUGAAGGUGUACUGUGAGGUAUGCUGGAGGUAUCAGAAGUGCGAAUGCUGACAUAAGUAACGAUAAAGCGGGUGAAAAGCCCGCUCGCCGGAAGACCAAGGGUUCCUGUCCAACGUUAAUCGGGGCAGGGGGAGUCGACCCCUAAGGCGAGGCCGAAAGGCGUAGUCGAUGGGAAACAGGUUAAUAUUCCUGUACUUGGUGUUACUGCGAAGGGGGGACGGAGAAGGCUAUGUUGGCCGGGCGACGGUUGUCCCGGUUUAAGCGUGUAGGCUGGUUUUCCAGGCAAAUCCGGAAAAUCAAGGCUGAGGCGUGAUGACGAGGCACUACGGUGCUGAAGCAACAAAUGCCCUGCUUCCAGGAAAAGCCUCUAAGCAUCAGGUAACAUCAAAUCGUACCCCAAACCGACACAGGUGGUCAGGUAGAGAAUACCAAGGCGCUUGAGAGAACUCGGGUGAAGGAACUAGGCAAAAUGGUGCCGUAACUUCGGGA
rnacentral:rRNA from 1 species